UGGGAUAUGGCUCAGUUGGUAGAGUGCUUGCUUUGCAUGCGCAAGGCCCUGGGUUCAAUCCCCGGCAUCAUAG
rnacentral:tRNA from 1 species